UAGCUCAAGUGGUAGAGUGCGUGCUUAGUAUGCACAAGGUCCUGGGUUCAAUCCCCAG
rnacentral:tRNA from 1 species